CCCCCCCCCCCCUACCUUUCUUUCCUUGCUGCUGCUCUUGCAGUCUCUUUGUUGUCCCCCAUUUCUCUUCCUUUUUCAUUGUCUCUGGGUGGUGGGGGAUGACGUAGAAAUGCUAUGACUGUCAAAAUUAUCUUUCCUCUAAAAUAAAAUUCAUUUUCAUCUCAGAAGUUCUUCUAAUUUUUUGGAGUUAUUACGUUUGGACCAUUUCUGUCGAUUUUUUUUUUUUUUUAAAUAAAAUCUACUCAAUUCCGAUUUCCAUAUUGUCAAUUUCCUACUUCUCACCUAUCUAUCAAAAGAUCCGCUGUUCUUCUUCAAUCGGGAUGAAAAAUCUGGGAGUUUGGUGUUAAUAUUAGAAAAUAUCAGAUGCGCGGAGGCUUGGAGGGACCGAUUUGCUGUUGGAUUGUUACAUGGAAUCCCCUUUGGUUACUUGGGUCGGUAUCACUUUUGGCGUCUUGUUUUCUUUAUUUGUUGUUGAAUCCCAAAAUGUAGAUACUGUAGCACCACCUCCGUCUCCACCGCCUCCGCCAUCUCCUCCACCUCCACCUCCACCUCCACCGCCUCUGCUAUCUCCACCCCCUCCAUCGGCCCCACCUCCACCUCCUCCCUUUCAUCCACCUCCGUCACCUCAUCCACACUCUCCUCCACCACCGCAAAAGGGCCUCCCUCCAGCUCCUCCAAAGAAUAAUAACUCAGAUAGAAAUCAUACCAAACAUGAGAAGCCCCAUGCUAAACUAAACCCACCACCGCGGAAAGAGAAAAGACCGCCACCAGCACCACCACCACCACCAAAAGAGAAAAGGCUCAAUUUUGGCAAGAAAAUCGGACUAUUUUUCAUCGGUAUUGCAACAAUCUUGCAGGUGUGCGUGGUGACGUUCUUGGUAUUCAAAAGAAAACAACUCUUAAGGGCAGAAAGCAGAUUUUAAAAAAAGGGCCAAAUUCAUUUAUCCUUUUUUCUCUCGUUUUCUCUUUCUCUUUGAUCGAGCAUGCAUACAAUACGGAAGUAGAGUCUUUGCUGGAGGAUAGGCAUUUUAUUCAUUCAGCGGACAGAUGAUGGAUUCAUAUAUGGAUUCGGAUUGAAGGAUUUACUGAGCAUCGGUCUCUGCAUAUCAUUAUUGCUCUUGUAAAUUGGUGAUAGAAGAAACAAACGUUUCUAGAUGAUAUCCUGCCUCUGGUUCUCAAUUUGACAUGACUUGUGUGGAUGGAGAUAAAAAUUGCCUUAAGUUAUAGUCUGGAUGAAAACUCAAUAGGAAUAUCAGCCUACUUAUUUUCGAGGCGUGAUUUGUGGUUGCUACUAUUGUAACAUGCGGUCCUAUAUAUAACCUUUUCAUUUUGUCUGUUCGUAAAUAAAUAAAUAUAUAAAAAAAAUAAUGAAAGUAUAUGAUAUUUAAUUCUGUCUUGUGCUAUGACAUUUGGAUUGCAAAUGCAUGAGCACAUAUGCUGCAGGCUUGGUAUUUGGAUGGGGAUAUGUAAACAAAGAUUGCGGGGCUUAGUUGGCAAAAUGUAUGAAUGAAAAAGGCACUCGACUUUUCUGGAGUAA